GCGUGGGGGCAGACUACACAUGCAGUCGAGCGGAACGAGUUAUCUGAACCUUCGGGGAACGAUAACGGCGUCGAGCGGCGGACGGGUGAGUAAUGCCUAGGAAAUUGCCCUGAUGUGGGGGAUAACCAUUGGAAACGAUGGCUAAUACCGCAUAAUGCCUACGGGCCAAAGAGGGGGACCUUCGGGCCUCUCGCGUCAGGAUAUGCCUAGGUGGGAUUAGCUAGUUGGUGAGGUAAUGGCUCACCAAGGCGACGAUCCCUAGCUGGUCUGAGAGGAUGAUCAGCCACACUGGAACUGAGACACGGUCCAGACUCCUACGGGAGGCAGCAGUGGGGAAUAUUGCACAAUGGGCGCAAGCCUGAUGCAGCCAUGCCGCGUGUGUGAAGAAGGCCUUCGGGUUGUAAAGCACUUUCAGUCGUGAGGAAGGUAGUGUAGUUAAUAGCUGCAUUAUUUGACGUUAGCGACAGAAGAAGCACCGGCUAACUCCGUGCCAGCAGCCGCGGUAAUACGGAGGGUGCGAGCGUUAAUCGGAAUUACUGGGCGUAAAGCGCAUGCAGGUGGUUUGUUAAGUCAGAUGUGAAAGCCCGGGGCUCAACCUCGGAAUUGCAUUUGAAACUGGCAGACUAGAGUACUGUAGAGGGGGGUAGAAUUUCAGGUGUAGCGGUGAAAUGCGUAGAGAUCUGAAGGAAUACCGGUGGCGAAGGCGGCCCCCUGGACAGAUACUGACACUCAGAUGCGAAAGCGUGGGGAGCAAACAGGAUUAGAUACCCUGGUAGUCCACGCCGUAAACGAUGUCUACUUGGAGGUUGUGGCCUUGAGCCGUGGGCUUUCGGAGCUAACGCGUUAAGUAGACCGCCUGGGGAGUACGGUCGCAAGAUUAAAACUCAAAUGAAUUGACGGGGGCCCGCACAAGCGGUGGAGCAUGUGGUUUAAUUCGAUGCAACGCGAAGAACCUUACCUACUCUUGACAUCCAGAGAACUUUCCAGAGAUGAAUUGGUUGCCUUCGGGAACUCUGAGAACAGGUGCUGCAUGGCUGUCGUCAGCUCGUGUUGUGAAAUG
rnacentral:rRNA from 1 species